rnacentral:rRNA from 1 species
AACGAACGCUGGCGGCAGGCUUAACACAUGCAAGUCGAACGCCCCGCAAGGGGAGUGGCAGACGGGUGAGUAACGCGGGGGAAUCUACCUGGAACUAAGGAACAACUGAGGGGAACUUCAGCUAAUACCGAAUACGCCCUACGGGGGGAAGAUUUAUCGGUUUCAGAUGAGCCCGCGUAAGAUUAGCUAGUUGGUGGGGUUAUGGCCUACCAAGGCGACGAUUUUUAGCUGGUCUGAGUGGAUGAUCAGCCACACUGGGACUGAGACACGGCGCAGACUCCUACGGGAGGCAGCAGUGGGGAAUAUUGGACAAUGGGCGCAAGCCUGAUCCAGCCAUGCCGCGUGAGUGAUGAAGGCCUUAGGGUUGUAAAGCUCUUUCAGUGGGGAAGAUAAUGACGGUACCCACAGAAGAAGCCCCGGCUAACUUCGUGCCAGCAGCCGCAGUAACAC